CUGGCCUCCCCGGCCACAGACUCGUUCUGUCCCUGCGGUCAGAGAGCCGAACACGGACAGCGGCGCAUCGCCUGCUGCCGGAUGGAUCCAGAACGUGACAGAUGUUAAAUUUUAGCAACUAAAUGUUAGCAUCAGCUGUUAGCUGCUAGCUGACCCCCAUCAUCCUGCAACACGUUUGUUGUGACUUUAUCCUUGAACAGAGCUGUAGAUGUGGACCAGAACCUUCCCACUGAUCAGUAGAUGUGAUCUGUGUGUUCAUUAAAGUCCACUUCCAUGUUAAGGUUGAUCGAGUAGCUUUAGUUUUCCUCUCAGGCUCUCUGAGGAAACACUGCCUGCUAGUGAUGUUACGCUCGAGCCAGUUUGCUCGACACAGUUCCGAGCUUUUGAAACGGAAGUGUUCCGAGACAGUGUUUCGAUCCCUGCUUCUGCAUGCCCAACAAUCACGUGACUACUGAGAGCGAGGCCUCGUUACGUCACAGCGUGUGUUGCGGUGCUUUGGGAAUUAUGAAGGAGUUGGACAUUUCAAUCUGUCCAGGUCUUAAAAGGGUCUGAUUCACUCCUCAAACUGUGGGUUUCUGAGAGGACAUUAAGCUAGUACAUUUGCCAUUUGGAAAGAAGUCAGAGAGUGAACACAUUUAGGUAGAAUUAAGUUUAGAUAGAUUUAGUUACAUUUCAUACACUAAAUAACACUCAUAGAUACAUACAUAUAGAUUCACACAUACACAACACAUUCAUUCAUUUAUAGAAACACACUACACAUAUAGUAGAAUAGGUUAUAGAUAGGUACAUAGAGAGUAGUUUGAGUGGUUGAAAGAGUGUCCUGUGAGUUGUGAGAGUGCAAGGUGUCUAUCUGAGCUCUACCUGUCCAGAGGAGACCCGUUCACCUACUGGGCAUCACGUCAAACUGUAUCCAAACCUCUUCAGGAUGGCCAAAAAAUAUCUCCUCAUGCCAGCAACAUCUGUGCCAUGUGAGUGGAUCUUCUCCAAAGCUGGAGAGGUCUGAUCUUCUGAUGCCAACAUGCCCAAAGACAGCCAAGCCAAGAGGCUGCAAAACCGCAACGCCAUGCGACUUGCUAGAGCAGCCGAGUCAGAGGAAGCUCGAGAAGCUCGUCGAGCUCGUGAUAGGUUGCGUCAGAGACUCACUCGAGCAACCGAGUCAGACGAAGCUCGAGAAGCUCGUCGAGCUCGUCAAGCUCAUGAUUGGUUGCGUCGCAAACGAGCUCGAGCAGCUGAGUCGGACGAAACUCGAGAAGCUCGUCAAGCUCGUGACCGUUUGAGUCGCAGAUACGCUCGAGCAGCCGAGUCGGAGGAAGUGCGAGAAAUUCGUAGAGCUCGAGAUCGGUUGAAUCGUAGAUUUGCUCGAGCGACGGAGUCAGAAGAAGCUCGAUACCUUCGCCUGGCCAACAACGCUGCCUCCAAAGCCAGACGCCUUGCCGCUGAGUCCUACGAAGAACGUUACGCCCGUCUGGCUGACAACGCGGCACGGCAGGCCAGACGCCGAGCGGCCGAGUCUUACGAGGAGCGACGCGCUCGACUCGCAAGAAACGCCGCACGCCAGGCCAUGCGACGAGCUGCACGGUCAGAGGAAGCUGGAGACGCUGGACUGUCCGGAGACGCCGUCAGUCAGGAGACAUGGACAGCAGCUGACCAGUACCACCUCAACCAGUACCACCACCAACAGUCCUUCCAGCUGGAGCUGCAGGAGGAAGAUGGAGAAAAGCUCAUGCUGGUUCCCUUUCCAAAGUGUUCCCACUGCGGCGCCCUCGUCUGGAAGGCACUUCCUGUUUCUUCUGCUGAGGCAGCAGCUUCCUGUGAGACGCUGCUCUGCCACGACCACCAGUAGACCUCUGCUGCUCCAGCUGCAGGAUUCACAGGAGAACCGUCAGACCUGGAACCCGAGGAACUAAUGAGGAUGAACUGAAGCUGGGUCCUUCCGGGACUUGUUGCUGCUCAUCUCCUGACUAAACAAAGACAGUCAUAUUUCAUAUUUCAGAACCUGGACAUUCCUGAUCCUCCUGAAGCUCUGAUGGAAAUAUUUCUACAUCUGCUGCUGAUUUCUGGUUCCCCGCACAUGAAGCAUUAGAAUCACCAGAGUUCAGACUGUUCCACAAACAGUUCAGCAUCAGCUGUCAACACCUCCACUGUUCUAGAUCUAGAUUAUUAUCAGGAGGCUCCAUGUCUGUUAGAGCUCUACAUAGAACCAGGAAACUGACACACUAGAACAUCUGGAGCAGGUUGCUGGUCUCAGAUCAGCUGCAGAUGUUUCAUACAGCUGCUUUUCAGUCUGUUCUUAUUCCAGAUGUUUCAUACAGCUGCUGUUCAGUCUGUUAUUAUUCCAGAUGUUUGAUGAAGCUCUUAUUCUAGAUGUUUCAUAAAGCUGCUGUUCAGUCUGUUAUUAUUAUUCCAGAUGUUUCAUACAGCUGCUUUUCAGUCUGUUCUUAUUCCAGAUGUUUAUUGAACUUGUUCUUAUUCCAGAUGUUUAUUGAACCUUUUCUUAUUCCAGAUGUUUGAUGAACCUGUUCUUAUUCCAGAUGUUUGAUGGACCUGUUGUUAUUCCAGAUGUUUAUUGAACCUGUUGUUAUUCCAGAUGUUUAUUGAACCUGUUGUUAUUCCAGAUGUUUAUUGAAGUUGUUCUUAUUCCUGAUGUUUAUUGAAACUUUUCUUAUUCCAGAUGUUUGAUGAACCUGUUCUUAUUCCAGAUGUUUGAUGGACCUGCAGCAGGUCUGUGGGUUAAACGUGUUGAACUGAUGUCGGUUCCGUUUCUCGUUGUGUGAUUCUGUUCCACCAGUGGUGAAUAAAGUUUAAAUGUGGAACCUUCCUGUAGAUGAACCAGUGAUCUGUGAUUUACUGACAGUUAAAUCCAUCAGAGAUCCAGAAGGUUUGUGGUCUUCAAGCUUCCACUCAGAGGAAACA
ensembl:lncRNA